UACAGAGGGUGCGAGCGUUAAUCGGAAUUACUGGGCGUAAAGCGCACGUAGGUGGCGACGUAAGUCGGGUGUGAAAGCCCCGGGCUUAACCUGGGAACUGCGCUUGAAACUACGGAACUCGAGUAUGGCAGAGGAAGGUGGAAUUCCACGUGUAGCGGUGAAAUGCGUAGAGAUGUGGAGGAACACCGAUGGCGAAGGCAGCCUCCUGGGCCAGCACUGACGCUCAUGCACGAAAGCGUGGGGAGCAAACAGG
rnacentral:rRNA from 1 species